AACGCGAAGAACCUUACCUGGGCUUGACAUAUAGAGGAUCGCUACGGAGAUGUGGUUUCCCUUGUGGCUUCUAUACAGGUGGUGCAUGGUUGUCGUCAGCUCGUGUCGUGAGAUGUUGGGUUAAGUCCCGCAACGAGCGCAACCCUUGUCUUAUGUUGCCAGCACGUUAUGGUGGGGACUCGUGAGAGACUGCCGGGGUCAACUCGGAGGAAGGUGGGGAUGACGUCAAAUCAUCAUGCCCCUUAUGUCCAGGGCUUCACACAUGCUACAAUGGCCGGUACAGAGGGCUGCGAUGCCGUGAGGCGGAGCGAAUCUCUUAAAGCCGGUCUCAGUUCGGAUUGGGGUCUGCAACUCGACUGCGUGAAGUCGGAAUCGCUAGUAAUCG
rnacentral:rRNA from 1 species